GCAAUUGUAAGCUCAGAUUCCAGUUUUCAAGGAUUGGAUACACAUUGUCUGGACCAUGUUACGCAAGGUCUGUGGAUAAGGGAAGGAACAAUAUUUCCAUCAAAGGUUAUGGAAUGUCAUUUUCAGGGCUCUUCUUCACUUCGGAAGGUUGUUGAAGAACAAGUGGGUCAGUAUUUGAUCAAAUAGCAAUGCAAAUGUAUCCUAUAUCAAUUGUCAAGGUGGGUGUCACAGCCACUUAUUGAUGAAGCAAUUACAGCCCAUGAU